rnacentral:rRNA from 1 species
AACUGGCAACUUGAGUCUGAAGAGGGGGUGGAUUCCAGGUGAGCGUGAAUGCGUGAGAUUGGAGGACACCGGUGGGAAGGCGACCUCUGGUCAAAACUGACGCUCAGGUGGAAAGCGUGGGAGCGAACAGGAUUAGAUACCCUGGUAGUCCACGCCGUAAACGAUGUCGAUUAGGAGGUAGUGCCUUUCCGCCGUUGAUUCCGGAGCUAACGCCUUAAAUCAAUCGCCUGGGGAGUACGGCUGCAAGGUUAAACUCAAAUGAAUUGACGGGGGCCCGCACCAGCGGUGGAGCCUGUGGUUUAAUUUGGUGCAACGGGAAGAACCUUACCCGGUUCUGACCUUCAUAGAACAUCCCAGAGAAUGGGUGUUCCCUUUGGGAGCCGGGAGACCGGUUGUGCCUGGCUGUUGUCCGCUUGUGUUGUGAAAUGUUGGGUUAAGUUCCGCAACGAGCGCAACCCUUUUCUUUUGUUGCCCGCCGUUCGGCCGGGAACUCAAAGGAGACUGCCGGUGACAAACCGGAGGAAGGUGGGGAUGACGUCAAGUCAUCAUGCCCCUUAUGACCAGGGCUACACACGUGCUACAAUGGCAUAUACAAAGGGCAGCGACCUCGCGAGAGCAAGCCAACCUCACAAAUUUGGUCUCAGUCCGGAUCGCAGUCUGCAACUCGACUCCGUGAAGUCGGAAUCGCUAGUAAUCGUAGAUCAGCAUGCCGCGGUGAAUACGUUCCCGG